UUCCUCUCAGGAUCACUCCUGGAGAGUUACCAGUACUCUACCAGUCUUGGCUACAAGAGGGAGAGAGAGUCAAGCAGAGGCAUAUCCAUUCCAUUCCCUAGCUGGGGCAGUGGCUAGCGAGUGGAAGGCAAUCUGCUGCAAGU